rnacentral:rRNA from 1 species
GAUGAACGCUGGCGGCGUGCCUAACACAUGCAAGUCGAACGAAGCGCUUCGAUUUCUUCGGAAUGAAAAAGUGACUGAGUGGCGGACGGGUGAGUAACGCGUGGGUAACCUGCCUCAUACAGGGGGAUAACAGUUAGAAAUGGCUGCUAAUACCGCAUAAGCGCACAGUACCGCAUGGUACCGUGUGAAAAACUCCGGUGGUAUGAGAUGGACCCGCGUCUGAUUAGCUAGUUGGUAAGGUAACGGCUUACCAAGGCGACGAUCAGUAGCCGGACUGAGAGGUUGAUCGGCCACAUUGGGACUGAGACACGGCCCAGACUCCUACGGGAGGCAGCAGUGGGGAAUAUUGCACAAUGGAGGAAACUCUGAUGCAGCGACGCCGCGUGAGGGAAGAAGGCCUUCGGGUUGUAAACUUCUUUUAGCAGGGACGAAGGACGUGACGGUACCUGCAGAAAAAGCAACGGCUAACUACGUG